rnacentral:tmRNA from 1 species
GGGGUCGUACUGGUUUUGACAGCAUAUGGUACGGUUGGUGUAAGCAUGCAGUGCGUUGGAUAAUUAGCACUUUAAUCUGAAUAUUCAAACUUCAAAUGGCAAUACACAGUAUGCCAUGGCUGCCUAAUCAGUGAUUAGAUAGUCAUUUGGGCCGCCGCACAGGUUGAUCUGUUACCAGGUGCCGCCGCCGACUCAAAAUAAACACAGGUUGCUGUAACAGAAGGCUGUGACUGUUACCUAAGACCAUCCAGCUAAGUGUAUUGUUGGUUUGUUCAUGUCCGGCAGUACACCGACAAAUAAUCAUGAAAUAAGCAUGUAGAAAGCUAAUGGUAGCGAUGUUUGGACAGGGGUUCGACUCCCCUCGACUCCACAA